rnacentral:rRNA from 1 species
CUAGUAAUCGCGAAUCAGAAUGUCGCGGUGAAUACGUUCCCGGGUCUUGUACACACCGCCCGUCACACCAUGGGAGUCGGAAAUGCCCGAAGUCAGUGACCCAACCGUAAGGAGGGAGCUGCCGAAGGUGGAGCCGGUAACUGGGGUGAAGUCGUAACAAGGUACC